AAAUAGAUACCCGGGUAGUCCACCCGUAAACGUUGGGAACUAGUUGUGGGUCCUUUCCACGGAUUCCGUGACGCAGCUAACGCAUUAAGUUCCCCGCCUGGGGAGUACGGCCGCAAGGCUAAAACUCAAAGGAAUUGACGGGGACCCGCACAAGCGGCGGAGCAUGCGGAUUAAUUCGAUGCAACGCGAAGAACCUUACCAAGGCUUGACAUACACGAGAACACCCUGGAAACAGGGGACUCUUUGGACACUCGUGAACAGGUGGUGCAUGGUUGUCGUCAGCUCGUGUCGUGAGAUGUUGGGUUAAGUCCCGCAACGAGCGCAACCCUCGUUCUAUGUUGCCAGCACGUAAUGGUGGGAACUCAUGGGAUACUGCCGGGGUCAACUCGGAGGAAGGUGGGGAUGACGUCAAAUCAUCAUGCCCCUUAUGUCUUGGGCUUCACGCAUGCUACAAUGGCCGGUACAAAGGGCUGCAAUACCGUGAGGUGGAGCGAAUCCCAAAAGCCGGUCCCAGUUCGGAUUGAGGUCUGCAACUCGACCUCAUGAA
rnacentral:rRNA from 1 species